UAGAGAUGUGGAGGAACACCAGUGGCGAAGGCGACUCUCUGGUCUGUAACUGACGCUGAGGAGCGAAAGCGUGGGGAGCGAACAGGAUUAGAUACCCUGGUAGUCCACGCCGUAAACGAUGAGUGCUAAGUGUUAGGGGGUUUCCGCCCCUUAGUGCUGCAGCUAACGCAUUAAGCACUCCGCCUGGGGAGUACGGUCGCAAGACUGAAACUCAAAGGAAUUGACGGGGGCCCGCACAAGCGGUGGAGCAUGUGGUUUAAUUCGAAGCAACGCGAAGAACCUUACCAGGUCUUGACAUCCUCUGACAAUCCUAGAGAUAGGACGUCCCCUUCGGGGGCAGAGUGACAGGUGGUGCAUGGUUGUCGUCAGCUCGUGUCGUGAGAUGUUGGGUUAAGUCCCGCAACGAGCGCAACCCUUGAUCUUAGUUGCCAGCAUUCAGUUGGGCACUCUAAGGUGACUGCCGGUGACAAACCGGAGGAAGGUGGGGAUGACGUCAAAUCAUCAUGCCCCUUAUGACCUGGGCUACACACGUGCUACAAUGGACAGAACAAAGGGUAGCGAAACCGCGAGGUUAAGCCAAUCCCACAAAUCUGUUCUCAGUUCGGAUCGCAGUCUGCAACUCGACUGCGUGAAGCUGGA
rnacentral:rRNA from 1 species